rnacentral:rRNA from 1 species
UUCGUGUGAACAGUGGUUGAUCACGAGUUAGUCGGUCCUAAGUUCAAGGCGAAAGCCGAAAAUUUUCAAGUAAAGAAAAAUCAAAAUAUAUUUGCCAAUUAAUGGAUUUUUAUACACUUGAAUAAUUUUGAACGAAAGGGAAUACGGUUCCAAUUCCGUAACCUGUUGAGUAUCCGUUUGUUAUUAAAUAUGGGCCUUGUGCUCAUCCUGGCAACAGGAACGACCAUAAAGAAGCCGUCGAGAGGUAUCGGAAGAGUUUUCUUUUCUGUUUUAUAGCCGUACUACCAUGGAAGUCUUUCGCAGAGAGAUAUGGUAGAUGGGCUAGAAGAGCAUGACAUAUACUGUUGUGUCGAUAUUUUCUCCUCGGACCUUGAAAAUUUAUGGUGGGGUUACGCAAACUUCUCAACAGGCCGUACCAAUAUCCGCAGCUGGUCUCCAAGGUGAAGAGUCUCUAGUCGAUAGAAUA